UUGCCAUCAUUGAGUUGGGCACUCUAAAGAGAUGCCGGUGUCAAACCGGAGGAAGGUGGGGAUGACGUCAAGUCCUCAUGGCCUUUAUGACCAGGGCUACACACGUACUACAAUGGCCGGUACAAAGGGCAGCGACACAGCGAUGUGAAGCGAAUCCCGAAAAGCCGGUCUCAGUCCGGAUUGGAGUCUGCAACUCGACUCCAUGAAGUUGGAAUCGCUAGUAAUCGUGAAUCAGAAUGUCACGGUGAAUACGUUCCCGGGCCUU
rnacentral:rRNA from 1 species